GCUUUAUUUUUCAAUCGUAUCGGUUGCAGUCUCAUUCUUCUUGCCGUGUAGCUUUUCUUGAUCUCAUAUCUUUCCCUCCAGAUCUAUUCUCCAUGGGUUCUAAUCUCGUUUGGUCGUCCCUGAGAUCGGGUAGAUCGUCUCCUGAUCUACGAUUUGGUACCAGUUUCGGAUGAUGUUAGCUUGAGGUUUCAUGGCUCGACCUUGGAUGAGCUGAUAAGGCUUGUCUAAACCGUAUAUGUCUACCAGAUCUGCAGCCUACGCCUUGGAGAUAGCCAUGGCUUCGUUCCGGCGUAAGUCGUUCCUUGGGAAUUGCGGUUAUGGUGAUGCUGGUGGCCCGAUGGAGUGCGAAGCUGCUCUCUCUCUUCUCGUGAAGUGUUGAUCAAAUCACUGUCAAAAUCUGUACCGGAUUCGUCGUUCACGAGGGCGAUCGAGUUUAUUGAAGAGAAGAAGACGACGUCCAGGAUCUGUCUAAUUAUUUGUUAUGGAUGUGUGAGAUGUAUCAGGACGAGAUGGCCUAAUUUCAGGGGGCCGAGUUCUGAUCUAUCUUUGUCAUCCGACCUUUGCCAUGUCAGGUGCGCUUGCAUGGCAGGUCACCAAUAUUUUAAUAAAAGAAAUAUUUUUUGGUUUUCGAGGGGAGAUCGCACGGGGGUUGCCCGGGUUCUUCCCCUCGUGUGUGCGUGUGGGUGUGUUUUGUGUGCUCUCUUUUUUCUUCUUUCCUUUCUUUCCAAUAUCUCAAUCGUCACGCACGCGAGAUCCACUUCACCAAAUUGAUAACGGAUUGGAUUUGGAUUAGCGCUAUGAUCACAAAGAAUUUGAUCUACUCACAACUACUUUCGCGGAUUCAGGUAUAUUUUCAACUUCCAACAAACUAUUUAUAGAUAACAUUCAAUUAGUUUCCGACUUUAAAUAAUCCAAUAAUUAGAAGGCUAGAAUCGUUUUAUUUAUAUGUUUUCAGAAUUGCAUCCAAGGCGUCAGACUUCAAACCGGGUCUAGUUAUAUUUGAAGUUGGAAAACCAAGUCAUGUUUUAGACUCUUUUACAUUUGCAGGCGUUAAUAAUUGGAGCUCCAUUAAUUUCAUAAAAAAAAUUGAUAAAUGAGUUUUAAUGCGUAUAUCUGUCGUAGAAUUUAUUUAAUUAAUAAAUGAGGCAAAUACUGUGGAAUCAUUCUAUUUACUGUUAUGUCUUAACAUCCCAACUAUUUUCCGAAGAGGUGGAUAUAAGUAAGCAACCCGAAAGAGCACUUCUAAAUUAUUGAAAAAAAAUGAACGAGUCCUAGCAUAAAACAGAGCGUAAAAUGUUCCAUCUGCAUCCUUAAGGCUUUUGUGUUUAUAUAAUUAUUAACUAACCAUCUUUAAGGUAUGUUUUUGACGUAGUAGUUUCUUCAAUUUAUGAGAUUUAAUAUUGUUAAUGCCUUUAUGGUUUAAGAGUAGUUGUUGAACAUAUUAUUAACUUGUGUAUUAUAAGUAGAUUUGAGGCCUUGUUUCUGUACCCCUAGUUUGUUUGGUUUGAAAGUUGUAUAAAUCUCCAUGCCAUCCCGUUGUCCUGGCUGGAGUUCUUUGAUAGUAGAUGAAGUAUUUGGUUGAAGAUGUGAAGCAAACCUUCGUUUCGUUGAAGUGAGAGCACUCCCUGGCAAUCUUCAAAUGCAGCGGAUCCAAGUUCAACUUGAAAAUUUUGGCGUCCCAAAUUUAUUGGUGUUCAGAACUUCGAAGAAUUGAACACAGCCUCACCGUAUAUGGAGGCAGAAGCUGAUGCAAUGGUUCUUGAUGGUUUUAUUGGAAUACUUGCCCAAGUCGAUAAUUGGGGAAGCAUCAAUAUUUUUGUCGGGCUGGUGUUUUAUGGAUUUUCCUCGCCGUCAUGUUUAAGAAGUUUCAGAUAGUCAUUAGAUGUCCGUGUGCGAGAAAUAAUACGAGGUGAUGCAAUAUUAUGAAGUAUUGAUUUCAGUAUUAAUUGCUAUUAAAUUUUAUAUCUGUUUCUAGUUCUGCGAUUACUUUUUUGUACUAUUUGAGUGUUAUAAGUUAAAGUGGGAUUUUUUCAGUAUUAUGUAUUAUAAUCCUUGCGGAGUU